rnacentral:rRNA from 1 species
CCUACGGGGGGCUGCAGUGGGGAAUAUUGGGCAAUGGGCGCAAGCCUGACCCAGCGACGCCGCGUGAGGGAAGACGGUCUUCGGAUUGUAAACCUCUGUUGCAGGGGAAGAAUAAAGUGACGGUACCCUGCGAGGAAGCCCCGGCAAACUACGUGCCAGCAGCCGCGGUAACACGUAGGGGGCGAGCGUUGUCCGGAAUUACUGGGCGUAAAGGGUGCGUAGGCUGCGAGACAAGUCGGGUGUAAAAGGCACGGGCUCAACCUGUGUGUGCACUCGAAACUGUUUUGCUGGAGGGGUAGAGAGGCAAGCGGAAUUCCCGGUGUAGCGGUGAAAUGCGUAGAUAUCGGGAAGAACACCAGUGGCGAAGGCGGCUUGCUAGCUACACCCUGACGCUGAGGCACGAAAGCCAGGGGAGCGAACCGGAUUAGAUACCCCGGUAGUC